rnacentral:rRNA from 1 species
AUUGAACGCUGGCGGCAGGCUUAACACAUGCAAGUCGAGCGAGCGGCGGACGGGUGAGUAAUGUCUGGGAAACUGCCUGAUGGAGGGGGAUAACUACUGGAAACGGUAGCUAAUACCGCAUACCAUCGGAUGUGCCCAGAUGGGAUUAGCUAGUAGGGGGGGUAAUGGCUCACCUAGGCGACGAUCCCUAGCUGGUAUGAGAGGAUGACCAGCCACACUGGAACUGAGACACGGUCCAGACUCCUACGGUAGGCAGCAGUGGGGAAUAUUGCACAAUGGGCGAAAGCCUGAUGCAGCCAUGCCGCGUGUAUGAAGAAGGCCUUCGGGUUGUAAAGCACUUUCAGCGGGGAGGCGUUACCCGCAGAAGAAGCACCGGCUAACUCCGUGCCAGCAGCCGCGGUAAUAC